rnacentral:rRNA from 1 species
AUUGAACGCUGGCGGCAGGCCUAACACAUGCAAGUCGAACGAGUGGCGGACGGGUGAGUAAUGUCUGGGAAACUGCCUGAUGGUGGGGGAUAACUACUGGCAACGGUAGCUAAUACCGCAUACCCUCAGAUGUGCCCAGAUGGGAUUAGCUUGUUGGGUGGUUAACGGCUCACGAAGGCGACGAUCCCUAGCUGGUCUGAGAGGAUGCCGAGCCAAACGGGAACGGAGACACGGUCCAGACGCCUACGGGAGGAAGAAGUGGGGAAUAUUGGACAAUGGGCGCAAGCAUGAUGCAGCCAUGCGGCGUGUAUGAAGAAGGCCUUCGGGUUGUAAAGUACUUUCAGCGGGGAGGCGUUACCCGCAGAAGAAGCACCGGCUAACGCCGUGCCAGCAGCCGCGGUAAUAC